AAUUACACGUUGAUAAGAACAGUACGUCAGUCCCGCACUCUUAGAGACCUCCGACUUUGGUUGAAACGGAGGAGUCGCGCGACUGACCGAACAUCAUCUUUGAGUGUUAGGAGCGAAUCAUUGAGUUCCUAAUGGGUACGCCCACUACAGCGUUAUUCGUUGAUUGACGAAGAGAGUUCAAUUUUUAAUUGAAAGUAAUAGGUGGUACCGCCACAAAGGCCCUAUAG
rnacentral:ncRNA from 1 species